rnacentral:rRNA from 1 species
GACGAACGCUGGCGGCGUGCCUAAUACAUGCAAGUCGAACGCAGUGGGGACGGGUGAGUAACACGUGGGUAACCUCCCAUCAGAGGGGAGAACACUUGGAAACAGGUGCUAAACCGAUACUGAUGGAUGGACCCGCGGUGCAUUAGCGAGUUGGUGAUGUAACGGCUCACCAAGGCCACGAUGCAUAGCAGACCUGAUAGGGUGAUCGGCCACACUGGGACUGAGACACGGCCCAGACUCCUACGGGAGGCAGCAGUGGGGAAUCUUCGGCAAUGGACGAAAGUCUGACCGGGCAUAGCCGCGUGAGGGAAGAAGGUUUUCGGAUCGUAAAACUCUGUUGUUAGAGAAGCGGUAUCUAACCAGAAAGCCACGGCUAACUACGUGCCAGCAGCCGCGGUAAUAG